rnacentral:rRNA from 1 species
GGAUGAACGCUGGCGGUAUGCAUAACACAUGCAAGUUUAACGACGACAUGUAAAAAUUUAGUUGUAACGGACGGGUGAGUAAUAUGUAAGAAUCUACGUUUGGGUAAGGAAUAACAGAUGGAAACGUCUCCUAAUACCUUGUAAGGCAUUUUUUUAAUGUUAAAGAGUUUUCGCCCUAACAUGAGCUUGCAUUCGAUUAGUUAGUUGGUGGGGUAAUGGCCUACCAAGACGAUGAUCGAUAGCUAAUUUGAGAGGAUGUUUAGCCACACUGGGACUGAGACACGGAACAGACUUCUACGGAAGGCAGCAGUGGGGAAUAUUUCGCAAUGAGUGAGAGCUUGACGAAGCAAUACCGCGUGGAGGAAGACGGCUUUAGAGUUGUAAACUCCUUUUCCCAUUGAAGAAUUCUGACGGUAUUUGGGGAAUAAGUAUCGGCUUACUUCGUGCCAGCAGCCGCGGUAAUACGAGGGAUGCGAGCGUUAUCCGGAAUUAUUGGGCGUAAAGAGUUCGUAGGUUGUCAGAUGUGUUUAGUGUUAAAUCUUAAAGCUUAACUUUAUACAAGCAUUAAAAACUAUCUGACUUGAAUAUGAUAGAGGCAAAGGGAAUUCUCAGUGUAGCGGUGAAAUGUGUAGAUAUUGGGAAGAACACCAGUGGCGAAAGCGCUUUGCUAGGUUAAAUAUUGACACUGAGGAACGAAAGCUAAGGGAGCAAAUAAGAUUAGAUACCUUAGUAGUCUUAGCAGUAAAUGUUGGAUAUUAAGUGGUGCUUUUUUGUACUGCUGUAGCUAACGCGUUAAAUAUCCCGCCUGGGAAGUAUGCUUGCAAAAGUGAAACUCAAAGGAAUUGACGGGGACCCGCACAAGCAGUGGAGCAUGUUGUUUAAUUCGUUGGUACACGAAAAACCUUACCAAGGUUUGACAUGUCGAGAAGUUGUUGAAAAACAAUGUGCCUUUUUGGAACUCGAACACAGGUGGUGCAUGGCUGUCGUCAGCUCGUGUUGUGAAAUGUUGGGUUAAGUCCCGCAACGAGCGCAACCCUUAUUUUUAGUUGUUUGUUUAUAUCUAGAAAGACUGCCGAUUAUAAAUCGGAGGAAGGAAAGGAUGAGGUCAAGUCAUCAUGCCCCUUAUAUCUUGGGCUACAAACGUGCUACAAUGGUUAGAACAAUAAGUUGCGAAUUCGUGAGGAUUAGCUAAUCUUACAAAUUUAACCUAAGUUCGGAUGAUAGGCUGUAACUCGCCUAUCUAAAGUUGGAAUUGCUAGUAAUCGCCAAUCAGCUAUGUGGCGGUGAAUACGUUCUCGGGUCUUGUACACACCGCCCGUCACACCAUGAAAGCUGUUUAUACCCGAAGAAAUUAUUCUAACCUUUUUGGAGGGAGGUUUUUAAGGUCCGAUCAGUGAUUAGGGUGAAGUCGUAACAAGGUAGCCGUACU